rnacentral:sRNA from 12 species
CCUAUGGACUGUUAAACAAACUGUAGUAGCUUUUAUAGCGAGGCGGAACAGGAUGAAAUAGGAA